UCCUUCCCGCCCUUUCUCCCAUCUCAUUUCUUCUCACUGUGAGUUUGCUUUGAGAAAUGGCGCGAGAAAUUCCGGCAGAGAAAGCCCUAGGUCUGCUCCGAAGCAGACUAUGUGACCCUAAUUUCGCCUUCAAAGCUCUCUCUCACUCCGACGAUUCAAACUACAGCAAGUUGAAAUUCUUAGUCUCAAGUUCCAUUACCGAAGCAUGUAACAACUCCAUUCUGCUUCUCGGUCCCCGUGGUUCUGGAAAAAUCGCCGUGUUGGAGCUUGUGCUCAGUGAUUUAUUACAGGAAUAUCCUGAUAUGAUUUCAGUGAUUAGGUUGAGUGGCCUGUUGCAUAGCAGUGACAACUGCGCAUUUAAGGAAAUUGCUAGACAGCUAUGCAUGGAGCAUCAGUUGGUUUUCUCCAGAAUGGCAUCAUUUGAUGAUAACUCCCAGUUUAUGAUAGCCAUGUUAAGGGAGUGUGGAUUAGCACAUAAAACAAUUAUUUUUAUUUUGGAUGAGUUUGACCUGUUUGCUCUGGGAAAACAGAAGUUACUUUAUAGUUUGCUUGAUGCAAUGCAGUCAGUAACAUCUCAAGCUGUCGUCAUUGGUGUGAGCUGCCGACUGGAUGCUGACAUGCUUUUGGACAAAAGAGUAAGAUCUCGUUUUUCACAUAGAAAGCUUUUGUUUCUUCCUCCUGCUAACGAAGACAUACAGCGAUUGUUGGAGCACAUUUUAUCAUUGCCAACAGACUCAAGCUUUCCUCCAGACUAUGCUGUUGCUUUCAACACAAAACUUCAAAAUAUAUUGGCAGAUGAAAGAUUUAAAGAGAUUAUUAGUACAUAUCUGAAUUUUGAUUCAACUGUCAAACAUUUGUUGAGAUAUCUAUUCCGUGCAGUUUCUUAUAUGGAUUUGGAGUCUGGAAUGUUGUCACUAGAAAACUUUAAAGCUGCACUUUCAAAUAUCCAGAGGCAUCCAAAGUUGGAAUGCAUAAAAGAUUGCUCCAUAUUGGAACUUUACAUUCUGGUAUGCAUGAAGAGGUUGGAAAUUAAAGAGCAGAACUCGUACAAUUUCAAUUCUGUAAUGAAAGAGUACAAAAGCAUACAUGAUUCGGUCAAGACAUCUGACUAUUUUGCAAGAAAUGUUUGCUUACGGGCAUUUGAACACCUUCUACAACGUGAACUGAUUGGCUUUACAGACAAUAGAGGACAAAACCACUCUGUUGAGUUUACUCCUGUGAAGCUUUUAGUCUCAUUCCACGAACUGCACCAGGGCCUGAAAUCAUAUGGUUCCUGUCCCGCCAUUCUUCAACAAUUAAUGGAUCGUCAAAAAUAGUGGCUGAAGAGACGGGAUUGAUGGCUGGUUAGCUGCUUCGUGUGAUUUCUAGAAUUUGUUUCAUUAGUGAUUCAUUAUUGUUAUCAAUUUUUAAUGAUGUAAAAACAAAUUUUUACACUUUUCUGGCCGAUAAAUAAAUUAAUACAGUCCACACAUGUCUCACAAAAAUCCACCAUGUUUUGGUGGGUAUAGAUUUAAGGGGUUUGGGUUUGGGUUUGGGUUUGCGUUUGAGUUUGAGUUUGGGCUUGGGUCUGGAAUAUAGAGAGGCAACAGAAACGGCUGCUUCCACUCUCUGUCUCUCAAAACCCAAAACCUAAAACCCACAACCCACAACCCAUCUCUGAGCUUCCACUAUUUACCAAACCCCUCUCCACUCAAAUGCAAUGGCACUCUGCGCCACAGCUUCAAAAGCUUUAGCUGCCAUCCUCUUGCUCUCUCAAGGUACGCCUUCUUUUUCCCCUCUCUGGUUCUUUCCACAACUUCCCUUCAACUACUUCACUAGCCACCAAAACUCUCUCUGAAAUCCAUUCCUUAUUUUUUACACCAUUGAAGAAAAAUCCUGAGCUUUUUGUAACAUCAAGCACUCCUCUGAUCAUUUCCAAGCUGUUAUUUAUUGACCCUGGGUUGUUUGUACGAGUCCUUGUUGAGAUUAGGACCAGACCCAGAAUUGCUUUAAGGUUUUUCCCAUGGGUAAGGAAGGGGAAGUGCAACAAGCACCAUUUUCAUUACCUUUCACUUCCAGGGAGAAAAUGAUUACAGGAUUUGAUGCAGACCCAACAGCUGUCUGUGUCAGUCUGUGCUGGUACAACAUUUACUCCGGUUUGUUGGUCUGCAUCUCCUUGGCUUGCGCAUGUGCGUGCCCGGUUCUUUUCCACUUGCUUUUGCCAUCCUUGAUUUUGAAAAUGGAGCCAAUUAGACAUGAUUUCUGCAAACUCUUUCCCAGCCAUGAAGAUCCUUCAAACAACAGUUUCACAGAAACAUUGCCCGUAUAAGUAAAAUGGUGACUACCUUCACCACAUGCAUCCUUCCCCACCCUUUACCUAUAUAUCAGGUAUACAUCGCACCUUGUACGAUAACAGAAACCAAUUGAAAAUAACAACCAUAACUACAAACAAUAAAAAUACCUGGAAGACAGGUUCUGCAACUGGUGUUAAAUUGUGAACUAUUGAACUAUCAUAAUAUUUGUAAUAUUCAACCCUAAUUUGAAACCCCAA